rnacentral:lncRNA from 1 species
UGAAGCCAUACAAGUACAAGUCACCACCACCGCCGCCAGUCUAUAAGUCUCCUCCACCACCGGUGUACAAGUACAAAUCUCCUCCCCCGCCGGUUUACAAGUACAAGUCACCACCACCGCCGCCAGUCUAUAAGUCUCCUCCACCACCGGUGUACAAGUACAAAUCUCCUCCCCCGCCGGUUUACAAGUACAAGUCACCACCGCCACCGGUGUACAAGUCGCCUCCUCCACCAACAAAGCCAUACAAGUACAAGUCUCCACCACCACCAGUCUAUAAGUCACCACCGCCACCGGUUUACAAGUAAAAACCCCCCCCGCCACCGGUGUACAAGUAUAAGUCACCGCCGCCUCCAGUCUACAAGUCUCCUCCGCCACCAGUUUACAAGUACAAAUCACCGCCGCCGCCAGUCUAUAAGUCACCACCGCCUCCAAUGAAGCCAUACAAGUACAAGUCACCACCACCGCCGCCGGUUUACAAGUCUCCUCCUCCGCCGGUGUACAAGUACAAAUCACCGCCGCCGCCAGUCUAUAAGUCACCACCGCCUCCAAUGAAGCCAUACAAGUACAAGUCACCACCACCGCCGCCAGUCUAUAAGUCUCCUCCACCACCGGUGUACAAGUACAAAUCACCACCGCCACCGGUUUACAAGUACAAGUCACCGCCGCCGCCGGUGCACAAACCACCUCCACAUUACAUCUCUGCGUCACCCCCUCCACCAUACCACGUCUAGAUGAGUCAACCCCCCAAGGUAAUACUACUAAUCAACAACUCAUAUCCAAUCACUGAAUAAGGGGCCGUUUGACAUAGAGAAAAUAUAUUUGUAUUUGUGGGAAAAUUAUUUAUUUUGAAAUUAACAUAUUUGCAUUAGUGACAAAUAUCACAAAUAUUUUUAGUUAUCAUUGGUUUAUCUUAUUCUGAAAAACAAUAACGUAAUUCUAAUUUCCUCAAAUAAAAAAUUUAGUUCUAUUAUUUAUGAAAUAUACAUAUCAAACAUUAUAGCCUAGCAAGUUUUUAUUAAUUAAUAAUACUGACCCCUCUCUCAACAACUCGAGCUAUUGGAGAUACGAUGAUCGAUUUUGGACAUGGUAUCAUAGAUUUAAAAAACCAAGAGGUCUCCUUUUCAAAUCCCGACAGUCUCCAUUCCGUACAUAUGACUUAUCGUGUGAACCUCAUUUCUUCUUAAAACUUCUGUCUGAAGGGCAUAUUAAUGAAUACUAUAUACAAAAUUGAUCUGAACCUUCCCCCAACAACUUACAAUGCAACGAUUCAUGACAAUUUUCUCGAUUUAGUACUCGAUACUCGGUACGAAACGGUGCCUUAAUUACUAACUUGUGUCUUGGUCCU